GCCCCGAUAGCUCAGCCGGUAGAUUGUGGCCAGUAGCCUCAAGCCGUAAAGCGCCACCUUGGUAAGGUGGAGGUCGCGGGUUCGAUUCCCGCUCGGGGCU
rnacentral:tRNA from 1 species